AUGUGUAACAGAAAAUGUCAAAAUCAAAAGCCGCGAAUUCACAAAAUAGCACGUAUCUACCAUGCACCGGCAGAAACACACACGCACAUGCACACAAAACUAUGGGUUUCUUGCAAAAAACGAGAAGAAGCAAAGUUACUAGGGAAAUGCUUUGAUCCAUGCGUUGUCACGCACGCUAGCACACAGUCCGUUAUUUCCCUUGCCUAUCAUGUGCCCUUUACCUUUUCUUGCAACAGCAGCGGUGUUGCAAAUCAUAGCGGCAGACGACCACUACAACUUAGACAAGCUAUGCAACAUCAGCUCUGUUGUAAAAAAAGAAAAACUGCAACCAAAUCUCUGUUGGAAAACAAUCUACGGCAAGAACUCUGUUGCAAAAAAAUAAAUCCCGCAACACAACCUAUUUGCAAAAAAAAUAUUCUGCAACUUUACCUUUGUUGCAAAUGUUUCUGCAACAAAACCUUUGUUGUGAAGUAG
rnacentral:rRNA from 1 species